UAUUUACUUUUAGCACCAUCCUCAUCAAACACGGAUCGUUGCAACAAUAGGCAAGCACCAUCCUCAUCAAACACGGAUCGUCGCAACAAUAGGCAAGCACCAUCCUC